rnacentral:rRNA from 1 species
CUGAGCCAUGAUCAAACUCUAGUUGGAAACGACUGCUAAUACCGCAUAAUGUCUACGGACCAAAGUGGGGGACCUUCGGGCCUCACGCCAAAAGAUUAGCCCAAGUGGGAUUAGCUAGUUNGUAAGGUAAUGGCUUACCAAGGCAACGAUCCCUAGCUGGUUUGAGAGGAUGAUCAGCCACACUGGGACUGAGACACGGCCCAGACUCCUACGGGAGGCAGCAGUGGGGAAUAUUGCACAAUGGGCGCAAGCCUGAUGCAGCCAUCCCGCGUGUGUGAAGAAGGCCUUCGGGUUGUAAAGCACUUUCAGUAAGGAGGAAAGGGUANUCUUUAAUAGAGGCUAUCUGUGACGUUACUUACA